rnacentral:rRNA from 1 species
CCUACGGGUGGCAGCAGUGAGGAAUAUUGGUCAAUGGGCGAGAGCCUGAACCAGCCAAGUCGCGUGAGGGAGUACUGCCCUAUGGGUUGUAAACCUCUUUUGUCGGGGAGCAAAAGCCGGACGUGUCCGGCUGUGAGAGUACCCGAAGAAAAAGCAUCGGCUAACUCCGUGCCAGCAGCCGCGGUAAUACGGAGGAUGCGAGCGUUCUCCGGAUUUAUUGGGUUUAAAGGGUGCGCAGGCGGAUUUUUAAGUCAGCGGUAAAAUCGUGGGGCUCAACCCCAUCCAGCCGUUGAAACUGGGGAUCUAGAGUGUGCGAGAGGUAUGCGGAAUGCGUGGUGUAGCGGUGAAUUGCAUAGAUAUCACGCAGAACCCCGAUUGCGAAGGCAGCAUACCGGUGCACAACUGACGCUCAGGCACGAAAGCGUGGGUAUCGAACAGGAUUAGAUACCCCGGUAGUC